AUUGAACGCUGGCGGCAGGCCUAACACAUGCAAGUAGAACGAGUGGGGGACGGGUGAGUAAUGGCUGGGAAACUGCCUGAUGGAGGGGGAUAGCGACUGGAAACGGUAGCUAAUACCGCAUACCAUCAGAUGUGCCCAGAUGGGAUGAGCUUGUUGGUGGGGUAUCGGCUCACAAAGGCGACGAUCCCUAGCUGGUCUGUGAGGAUGACCGGCAACACGUGAACUGAUCCACGUCCCAGACUCCUCCGGGAGGCGGCAUUGGGGAAGAUUGCACAAUGGGCGCACGCCUGAUGCAGCCAGGCCGCGUGUAUAAAGAAGGCCUUCGGGUUGUAAAAUACUUUCAGCGGGGAGGCGUUACCCGAAUACGAAGGAACGGCUAACUACGUGCCAGCAGCCGCGGUAAUAC
rnacentral:rRNA from 1 species